rnacentral:rRNA from 1 species
UACGUAGGGUGCGAGCGUUGUCCGGAAUUAUUGGGCGUAAAGAGCUCGUAGGCGGUUUGUUCGCGUCGACUGUGAAAACCUACAGCUUAACUGUGGGCUUGCAGUCGAUACGGGCAGACUUGAGUUCGGUAGGGGAGACUGGAAUUCCUGGUGUAGCGGUGAAAUGCGCAGAUAUCAGGAGGAACACCGGUGGCGAAGGCGGGUCUCUGGGCCGAUACUGACGCUGAGGAGCGAAAGCGUGGGGAGCGAACAGG